CUAGACUAAAUAUUGAAAAUAAAAUAAAAAAAUGUUUUACAACAAUUAGGAUAACCCCAACAAACACCCAUCAGUAGGUGUUGAUAUUCUUCUCGCUUGAUAUUCUUUUCUUUUUCUUCGUCCUAUUGAAUUCCUUCAUAAAGUUGAGAACACCAAGCACAUGUUUCCAUGUUUCGACCAUAGGAACCUUAAUCUCCAAUUUCUUGAAGAUCUCCAUAAAGCACUUGAACCUAUUUUCCCUCCUAUGAUUUUUCUUCUGAUGAGGAAAGGGUUUUGCAUAUGAUCUUUUCUUCCUUCCUCUCCUCCUCUUUUUCUCAAUCUCCCCCCUCAACUUUCUCUUUUUCUUUCUUUUUAUUUUCUUCUUUAUUUUUGCACAUUUUCUAUUUUUCUUUUUCCUUUCAACCACUUGAAUGAUAAAGCUCCCUGGAUCUUAUAAUUUAGGAGGUAAUGUUCUCUGUAUGACUGCACUGCAAUUUCCUUGUGCCUCAAUAGUUUCCUUCUCAAUAUACUUCCUUUCUUUCAUGAGAAGUUCUUUCAAAAAUUUCGCAUCUGAUGGUAUUUGCUGAAGUGCCUCAGAGAAUGGUAUGGUUAUUUCCAAUUUCUUGUGAAUCUCCAUAAAACGCUCCAACUGCUUUUCUUUUUCCCUCCUAGAAUAUGUCUUUGGAUAGGGCAAGGGCUUUUCAUACUCCCUCUCUUUCAAUUGUACAACCUCUUCUUCUAUCUUUUCUUCCUCUAUCUUCUCCUUAACAACAACCUUUUCUGUUUCUAUCUCUUCUAUCUUUUUCACUUCUCUCUCCACCUUCUCCUUAUCAACAACCUCAUCAAUUUGUGUCUCCAAAUUCCUGAAGGCAACUUCAUAGCUCUUGGGAUCACACCUCUCCAGAAAAUUGUCGAAUUUUUCAUUCAAGCUUUUGACUUGUUUUGUCACAUCAGCUAUUUGUUGACAAAGUUGUUGAUCAUACUCCCACG
rnacentral:lncRNA from 1 species